rnacentral:misc_RNA from 1 species
UAAGAUGACUCCAUUUGAAUCUCUUUAUGGUUAUCCUCCUCCAGUUCUUCCAAUGGCUCCAGUUGGUCUCCCAGUAUUAGGAGCUAUUAGCGAUUUCCUUCAACAAAGGCAGCAUCCCAGCAAACUUCUCAAGGAAAAUUUACAAGUUGGCCGAAAUAUAAUGAAGCAAAAAGCAGAUAAAAGAAGAUGUAAAAGGAAAUUGACAAUUGGUGAUUGGGUGUAUUUGAGUCUUUAGCCUUACAGACAGACCUCCAUUGCCAUUAGGCAAACCUUGUGUUAUAG